GCCUCUGUAGCUCAACAGGUGGAGCAUUUGCAUAAACAUCUUGCAUGAUGGUAAUCUCUUGCAGACAACGUGGGUUCGACUCCUGCCGGAGGCA